rnacentral:rRNA from 1 species
CCUACGGGUGGCUGCAGUGGGGAAUAUUGCACAAUGGGGGAAACCCUGAUGCAGCAACGCCGCGUGAGUGAGGAAGUAUUUCGGUAUGUAAAGCUCUAUCAGCAGGGGAUUGAAAAGAAGGUACCUGAACAAGAAGCCCCGGCUAACUACGUGCCAGCAGCCGCGGUAAUACGUAGGGGGCAAGCGUUAUCCGGAUUUACUGGGUGUAAAGGGAGCGUAGACGGAAAGGGAAGUCAGAGGUGAAAGCCCAAGGCUCAACCAUGGGAUUGCAUUUGAAACUGUCAAACUAGAGUACAGUAGAGGUAAGCGGAAUUCCUAGUGUAGCGGUGAAAUGCGUAGAUAUCAGGAGGAACACCGGUGGCGAAGGCGUCUUACUGGACUGAAACUGACGUUGAGGCUCGAAAGUGUGGGGAGCAAACAGGAUUAGAUACCCCAGUAGUC